rnacentral:ncRNA from 1 species
GCGUUGUUGGGUAGGGGAGCGUUCUGUAAGCCGUUGAAGGUGGCCUGUGAGGGUUGCUGGAGGUAUCAGAAGUGCGAAUGCUGACAUAAGUAACGAUAAAGCGGGUGAAAAGCCCGCUCGCCGGAAGACCAAGGGUUCCUGUCCAACGUUAAUCGGGGCAGGGUGAGUCGACCCCUAAGGCGAGGCUGAAAAGCGUAGUCGAUGGGAAACAGGUUAAUAUUCCUGUACUUGGUGUUACUGCGAAGGGGGGACGGAGAAGGCUAGGCUAGCCGGGCGACGGUUGUCCCGGUUUAAGCGUGUAGGG